rnacentral:rRNA from 1 species
UACGUAGGGUGCAAGCGUUGUCCGGAAUUAUUGGGCGUAAAGAGCUCGUAGGCGGUCUGUCGCGUCUGCUGUGAAAACUCGGGGCUUAACCCCGGGCCUGCAGUGGGUACGGGCAGACUAGAGUGCGGUAGGGGAGACUGGAAUUCCUAGUGUAGCGGUGAAAUGCAUAGAUAUUAGGAGGAACACCAGUGGCGAAGGCGAGUCUCUGGCACGCAUCUGACGCUGAAACACGAAAGCCAGGGGAGCGAACGGG